rnacentral:rRNA from 1 species
GACGAACGCUGGCGGCGUGCUUAACACAUGCAAGUCGAACGGAAAGGCCCUGCUUUUAUGGGGUGCUCGAGUGGCGAACGGGUGAGUAACACGUGAGUAACCUGCCCUUGACUUUGGGAUAACUUCAGGAAACUGGGGCUAAUACCGGAUAGGAGCUCCUGCUGCAUGGUGGGGGUUGGAAAGUUUCGGCGGUUGGGGAUGGACUCGCGGCUUAUCAGCUUGUUGGUGGGGUAGUGGCUUACCAAGGCUUUGACGGGUAGCCGGCCUGAGAGGGUGACCGGCCACAUUGGGACUGAGAUACGGCCCAGACCCCUACGGGAGGCAGCAGUGGGGAAUAUUGCACAAUGGGCGGAAGCCUGAUGCAGCAACGCCGCGUGCGGGAUGACGGCCUUCGGGUUGUAAACCGCUUUCGCCUGUGACGAAGCGUGAGUGACGGUAAUGGGUAAAGAAGCACCGGCUAACUACGUG